UACAGAGGGUGCAAGCGUUAAUCGGAAUUACUGGGCGUAAAGCGCACGUAGGUGGUUUGACAAGUUGGGUGUGAAAUCCCCGGGCUUAACCUGGGAACUGCAUUCAAAACUAUCAAGCUAGAGUAGAGUAGAGGGAAGUGGAAUUUCCGGUGUAGCGGUGAAAUGCGUAGAUAUCGGAAGGAACACCAGUGGCGAAGGCGGCUUCCUGGACUCAUACUGACACUGAGGUGCGAAAGCGUGGGGAG
rnacentral:rRNA from 1 species